rnacentral:rRNA from 1 species
AUGACCCAUGAGAUGGCUACAGCUAUUUUUCAUAGGCUUGGCCAAGUUGAUUUGUUUUUCUCAAAUGACAGUACUGGACAGAUAUGGAGGAAAUUCGUCGAGCCCGACUUUGCUACAACUGUUUUGGCGAACGCGGACCCAAUGAUCGUACAAUCAAUCAGGGAUAGCUUCCAAGAAGGAACAUCAUCCUGCAACCCAGCUUCAUGUCGAAUGUGGUACAUCCCGACGAUACUACCUGAUGGUUGGACCGUUUAUGCUUUUGAUAUGUUGCGGAAAAGAAUAAUUGUAUUAGACCCAGCUAUUGGACCGUUUGGGUAUAGCAACCGCCGAGUCAGCAUGCAUGAAUUUGUUAGCAACAAGCUCCACGCCGCGUUAUUCACAUGCCUCCAGAGUUUCUUCAGCUCUUGGCAUUGUGAAUCAGGCCACUGGGGACGCACUUUCCCGAUCAUAAUUAGGGAAACGAUUGAGAAAGAGCAGACUGGGUUGUGUGCCACCUUCUUUGCAUGGAAUUACGACGGCGACAAGCUACAGACACCACUAAAUAAAGACACGCUUGCAUCACACAGAAGCCUGAUGAUCUAUGAACUAAUGAGGAUGCAAGGCAACCAAACUCCAGUGGCAAACGAUGCCCUUGAAGCGGUGAAAGUAUCGUUCACUGCUCUUUAG